AUGGCGGCUGGGGCUCUACUGCUCCGGUGCGGGAGGGGCCGCCAUGCCAGGCCACCUCUCCCAGCAGCUCUCGCUGUGGCUUCAGGAACACGAUUUACUGAACAAGACCGUGACUGAGAUCUGCAUGAACGAAUUCCACACGAGAAUCUUGGGCCUACAGUCACGCGAGGACAACUGCCUCGAGGGAAGACCUCUCAGUUUAAGUUUAGACCUAGAAAUUGCUGACAACCUUUAAACACACAAUAUCUUUAGGAGAGAAAUGUUUAGGGGCAAAUACUAAGCAGUGAAAUCAUACUCUUAAAAAGCCCUCUCAGAGAAGUCUGUCCCAGUAAGCCAUUAUGCUGGAGUCUUGAUAUUCAGAUGACUUAGGGGGGAAAUUAAAAGUAGCAACACUCUGAAAACCCUCAGUAAAGUUCAUUCUUGGUCUUCUUUUCCUAAAUUUGUUUUCAAUUCUAUUAGAUUUAAUCACUAAGCAAGACCAAAAGAGAACUUUAUUUUACAUGACUUUAUUUUACAUUUAAAAUCAUUUUAUGCUUUACUUAAAAAAAAAAAACUCACUGUUUUUAAUAUUCCUAAAAGCAUUUUAACCAAAAUCUUGAUUUAGGAAGACUUAAGACAUUUUGUAUUAUUUUAAAUAUUUCAUUUUCUCAGUAAUUAUUAAAAAUAAGUUCACAAUUAGGGUUUCAAAUGUCCUAAUCAUAUGAUUUGUUCUCAUUUCAUACUUUAUCAAUCCCAUAAUGUACAUACAGAAGUGAAGGCGAUAUGUUACUAUUUCAGACAUAUCAAUAAUCAGCUCUUAAUCUAACUACUAUUUCACUUACUCAGAAAUAGCAUUUAGACACAAAAACCAAUGUUACUUUGUAAAAUAACCUUUGGUUAAUUUACACAAAUCUAACAGCAUGUUGUGUAAGUUUUGAGUAAUACAAGUUGCACUAUCAUUUUAGUUUUUAAUAUAUAUAUGUCAGCAAGGCUGAGGACAGCAUGUAGUUCAUUCUGAAGGAAGUUAUAUAAUAAAAGUGUAGUGCCUUUGAACAUGAAAAACAUCCUGAAGGCCAGGAGUCCUAUGAAGGAACUGAGAGGUAGGAGAGAUUCCAGAGAAUCUCUGCUCAUUUUCAGUAUGUGAAGUGACUAGUUUAAGUCACUUUAUUGAAGACUUUGUGAAGAAAACCGUGUUCCAUAUUGUGCCAUUGAAUGAAGGUACCGCAAGAAUUUAGAUAUUGGUCCGAGGUUACAUAAUGGGUCAUCAAAAAAGAACCUGUCACAUAGGUGGGUUAAUUCCCUUGCCAAGUGGGUCCCAACUUCACUUCCCCAUUUAUAAAAAGAAAAUGUGGCCUGGCCAGUGCCAUUCAGGAUUCUCUGCUAACUGUAAAAUGUGGAUUUUGUUUCUUAGAGUCCAUGUGUAUAUAAAUUUUCAGUUCUUCAAAUCAAAAAUUUUUUGCACAUAACCAUGUCAGUGUAUUACCCUUAGUUUAAAAAUGUACAACUAGAUAAAAUAAAAACUAUUGUUUCUUCAA